GAACAUAUGGGUUUGCCUCUAAGCAUGAAAGAGAACCAUGUUUAUGAACCAGGAUCACGUGCUGGAACAGUGAGGGUGAUAGAAGAGCCUCAGGCCUUCAGAGAGAUGGAGUCCCAGUGAGCUGGAGAAAGGAGAAGAAUCUAUUUCAGAGACAAGGAAAGAAGGCAGGCUGAUUGGAGAGAGCUGCAUCUAGAAGAAUAAUAUAUGGUUAUGAAGUAAAGCUGUGGUACAGGGUUCUGCCAACAAGAAGGACAGACUUUCUUCCUCUGGGAGCCACCUAUACCUGAUAGGCAGUUUAGCUCAGCAGAGAUUCUGAAGAACAGAAACUGAAUGAUUUCCAGAUCUUCUGUUUAGAACCUAAAGGCAAAUUCAUCUAUUCUUCCCCAAUUUUCUCUGCAAAAAGCGUGGUUUUUCCUCCAGAGAAAAGAAUAAAACUGCAUUUAUAU